UCAUCAAGAUAAAUAAGCAUUAUUUAUAAGACAAGCAAUGCAUAUAUUUAUACGCCUAUUUGUGAUGUCUCCCCUAAAUUAGAUUCAUAAAAUGAAUGCUUGUGAGAGUGAUUUAAGUGUUAAAGUUACUUGGAGGAUGCUGUUUUAUUAACCAAAUAAUACUCCAUUUCAUUAAUAAUUAAAUAAAUAUUUUUCUCUCCUCAUAAUGGCACCAUUUCUAAAGAAGGAAAACUUUAAUCUGAAAAACUGGUAAUGAUAGAGAAAUGUAGCUUACAAAUAAAUAUAUGAGAUAAAGAAUAUAUCUCACAAAUAUAUGAGAUAAAGAAUAUUAAUAAAUUUUAAAAAGUGAGAUAUAAAAAUGAGAUUUAAAGAAAAGUAGAAAGAAAGUCUUGGGAUUGUUAGCCACGGUAAGUCUAUUUUCUUCAUUGACACUUGGCAUCUUCCGUCUGUUGUAGAUGAAUGCAGCUGCAACUCUCUGCCAACUAUAAUUUGGUUGGCAGUAAUUCUACCCUAGCAGAGGGUACAUGAUUGCUACUUCUCCAGCAGAAACAAAGACAUCGUGAAGUGGUAGUCAAGAAGUUUCUAUAUAUCCGUGAGAGAUUCAAGGUCAAGAUCCAUGCUUUGGUUUACAAAUCUCUCUGUUGACUCUGUCUAAGAGCACUCAUAAUGCAUUAGGAUCUAUUUAGUUGCCUGACUUCACCCAUAGACUGAAUGUCUAGAAAACACCCCAACUUCUGGCAACUGCUGUUCUUUUUAUUAUUCUAUAACUUUGCCUUUUCCAGACUGUCUUAUAAAGGAAAUACAAUAUCUUGCUUUUUCACAUCACUUUACUUAUAAGUAUUUAUGAUUCAUGUAUAAUUUUGCAGUGGCUUGACAGCUCACUCUUUUUCAUUGCUGAAUAAUUAUCUGUUGUAAGAAUGUACCACAAUGUGUUCACCCAGUUACCUAUUGAAGGAUUCUGAUUGUUUUCAAUUGGGGGCAAUUAUGAAUAAAGCUGCUAUAAAUAUUUAUAGGAAAGCUUUUUGGUUGACUUACAUUUUCAAAUAAGUUGGAUAAAUAUCUAAGGACUUCAUUGCUGGAUUGUAUGGUAAGAUUAUGUCUAGCUUUAUAAGAAAUUAUAAAAAUGUCUUCCAAAGUGAUUGUACCAUUCCGCAUUCCCACUAGUAAUGAACAAGUGUUCUUAUUACUCUGCAUCCUUGCCAGUAAUUAAUAUUGUGUGUCUUGGAUUUUUGCUAUUCUAAUAGAUAUUUAGUGGCGUCUUAUUGUAGCUUUACUU
rnacentral:lncRNA from 1 species